AUUGAACGCUGGCGGCAUGCCUUACACAUGCAAGUCGAACGGUGACGCGGGGCAACCUGGCGACGAGUGGCGAACGGGUGAGUAAUACAUCGGAACGUGCCCCGUAGUGGGGGAUAGCCCGGCGAAAGCCGGAUUAAUACCGCAUACGACCUACGGGUGAAAGCCGGGGAGGGCAAGAGCUCGCGCUAUUGGAGCGGCCGAUGUCAGAUUAGCUAGUUGGUGGGGUAAAGGCCUACCAAGGCGAGGAUCUGUAGCUGGUCUGAGAGGACGACCAGCAAAACGGGAACUGAGACACGGCCCAGACUCCUACGGGAGGCAGCAGUGGGGAAUUUUGGACAAUGGGGGCAACCCUGAUCCAGCCAUGCCGCGUGCGGGAAGAAGGCCUUCGGGUUGUAAACCGCUUUUGUCGGGGAAGAAACGGUCUGCGCUAAUACCGCGGGCUAAUGACGGUACCCGAAGAAUAAGCACCGGCUAACUACGUGCCAGCAGCCGCCGUAAAAC
rnacentral:rRNA from 1 species